GGUACUUUUUAUGGUUCCACCUCAGUCAAGGUUCCAAGUGAGCUGAGCCGAUACUAAAACAUGAAAUGAAAGC